AUAUAACGCGGCACUGCACGGAGCCCCACUGAGCGGCCCCUGCCUCAGUUUCCCCUCGCCGGGGCGUCACUGCCACUGCUGCCACAGCCGCCGCUGCCAUGUGGAUGGUGUCACCGCCGGUCGAUGAAGGAUCUGCCUGGCUUUGGGACACGGCAAAGGCGGGGGGCAAAGGACAGGACCCUUAAAUUCUUUCCCUAAAGCUUAGCCCGAUAGGUAUUUUUCAGUCCACCAAGAAGCUGGUGCUGAGUGAGCAAGCGGGACGGGAACGGGCACUGGAAUUCCUCCGGAAAAACGCGGCUAACGGACUCUCCGUGGCCAACCUCCUGGCUGGGCUUUCCUCCAUCCUCUGCACUGUCAACAGGCAGUACCAGUACUCCUGCUGGCUUCUGCUCCUGGGCUUCCUGCUGGAUCUGGCCGAUGGGGCCGUGGCCCGGCAGCUUGACGCCUGCUCGGCACUGGGUGCCAAGCUGGAUGACUUUGCCGAUUUCACCACGUUCGGGCUGGGCACGGCGCUGCUGCUGCAGCCCCAGGGUGUGCUGGGGGGGCUGCUGACCCUCGCCUACGUGCUGGCCGUCUUUGCCCGCCUCUGCUUCUUCUCCAGCGGGAUCCCCUUCACCUACCGGGGGCUGCCCUGCCCCUACGCCUCAGCAGUGCUGGCCAGCACCUUCCUACUCACCGGGGGACACGUGGCCCUGCUCCGCGUCGCCGCGGCUGCCAUGAUCCUGUUCAUGGCCGACUGCGGCUUCUAUCCCCACGACAGGGUGCUGGAGUCACAG